GAAGAAAAUGGUUGUGGAAAAGAGCAACUGGGCCAGGUAUAUCUACCUCCUAGCACACUGCCUAACACAUACGAAGUGCUAUUCAAAUAAUUCGCUUCACUAAAAAGACUUUGCAAACAGCGCUAAAGGGAAACACCAGCCUCUAUCUUCGUGCUUAGAAGCGCCGGAUAUUUCCCUUGCACCAGAACGCAAGUCUGCCAACGCAGCCUCCAUGAUUGACAGAGGAGCAACGCCUCCUAGUGGGACUUCGGGGAACUGCACCUCUAACGGCAGCGCCUGGGAAGCUGAGUCAAGAGGAUCGCUUCGAGUUUGAGGCCAGCCAGGAGCACACGGUGAGUUUAAGACCGGCCUGAACUACAGAGGGAGACACUGUCCCAAAAACAAACAAACAAACAACA